rnacentral:tRNA from 1 species
GGGCGGUUAGCUCAGUUGGUAGAGCGGCUGGUUUACAUCCAGUAGGUCGGCGGUUCGAGCCCGUCACCGCCCACCA